AGAGUUUGAUCCUGGCUCAGGAUGAACGCUGGCGGCGUGCUUAACACAUGCAAGUCGAACGAAGCAUUUUAUCACGAUCCCUUCGGGGUGACGAUUUACUGACUGAGUGGCGGACGGGUGAGUAACGCGUGGGUAACCUGCCUUGUACAGGGGGACAACAGUUGGAAACGACUGCUAAUACCGCUAAGCGCACGAUGUCGCAUGACAAAGUGUGAAAAGAUUUAUCGGUACGAGAUGGACCCGCGUCUGAUUACCUCGUUGGUGAGGUAACGGCCCACCAUGGCGACGAUCAGUAGCCGACCUGAGAGGGUGACCGGCCACAUUGGGACUGAGACACGGCCCAUACUCCUACGGGAGGCAGCAGUGGGGAAUAUUGCACAAUGGGCGAAAGCCUGAUGCAGCGACGCCGCGUGAGCGAAGAAGUAUUUCGGUAUGUAAAGCUCUAUCAGCAGGGAAGAUAAUGACGGUACCUGACUAAAAAGCACCGGCUAAAUACGUGCCAGCAGCCGCGGUAAUACGUAUGGUGCAGUAUUGCAUUGAAAACUGUAGGACUAGAGUGUCGGAGGGGUAAGUGGAAUUCCUAGUGUAGCGGUGAAAUGCGUAAAUAUUAGGAGGAACACCAGUGGCGAAGGCGGCUUACUGGACGAUUACUGACGCUAAGGCUCGAAAGCGUGGGGAGCAAACAGGAUUAAAUACCCUGGUAGUCCACGCCGUAAACAAUAAAGACUAGGUGUUGGCUUCUAUAGGGAGUCGGUGCCGCAGCAAACGCAAUAAGUAUUCCACCUGGGGAGUACGUUCGCAAGAAUGAAACUCAAAGGAAUUGACGGGGACCCGCACAAGCGGUGGAGCAUGUGGUUUAAUUGGAAGCAACGCGAAGAACCUUACCAAAUCUUGACAUCCCACUGACAAAGUAUGUAAUGUACUCUUCCUUCGGGACAGUGGUGACAGGUGGUGCAUGGUGUCGUCAGCUCGUGUCGUGAGAUGUUGGGUUAAGUCCCGCAACGAGCGCAACCCUUAUCUUUAGUAGCCAGCAUUUUAAGAUGGGCACUCGAGAGAGACUGCCCGGGUGAACCGGGAGGAAGGUGGGGACGACGUCAAAUCAUCAUGCCCCUUAUGAUUUGGGCUACACACAUGGUACAAUGGCGUAAACAAAGGGAAGCAAGUGGGUGACCAUGAGCAAAUUUCAAAAAUAACGUCUCAGUUCGGAUUGUAGUCUGCAACUGGACUACAGGAAGCAGGAAUCGCUCGUAAUCGCGAAUCAGAAUGUCGCGGCGAAUACGUUCCCGGGUGUGGUACACACCGCCCGUCACACCAUGGGAGUUGGGAAUGCCCGAAGUGUGUGACCCAACCGAAAGGAGGGAGCAGCCGAAGGCAGGCUCGAUAACUGGGGUGAAGUCGUAACAAGGUAGCCGUAUCGGAAGGUGCGGCUGGAUCACCUCCUU
rnacentral:rRNA from 1 species